AGAGUUUGAUCCUGGCUCAGGACGAACGCUGGCGGCGCGCUUAACACAUGCAAGUCGAGCGAGAACCAGUCCUUCGGGGCUGGGGACAGCGGCGAACGGGUGAGUAACACGUGAGUAAUCCACCCCCGACACUGGGAUAGCCCGGGGAAACCCGGAUUAAUACCGGAUAGCCACUUCGGUUUUCGGACCGGAAUGAAAAGGUAGCUUCGGCCUCCGGUUGGGGACGAGCUCGCGGCGGAUUAGCUUGUUGGUGGGGUAAUGGCCUACCAAGGCAACGAUCAGUAGCCGGCUUGAGAGAGUGACCGGCCACAUUGGGACUGAGACACGGCCCAAACUCCUACGGGAGGCGGCAGUGGGGAAUAUUGGACAAUGGGGGAAACCCUGAUCCAGCGACGCCGCGUGAGUGAAGAAGUAUUUCGGUAUGUAAAGCUCUAUCAGCAGGGAAGAUAAUGACAGUACCUGACUAAGAAGCCCCGGCUAACUACGUGCCAGCAGCCGCGGUAAUACGUAGGGGGCAAGCGUUAUCCGGAUUUACUGGGUGUAAAGGGAGCGUAGGUGGUUCGGUAAGUCAGAUGUGAAAGCCCGGGGCUCAACCCCGGGACUGCAUUUGAAACUAUCGAACUAGAGUGCAGGAGAGGUAAGUGGAAUUCCUAGUGUAGCGGUGAAAUGCGUAGAUAUUAGGAGGAACACCAGUGGCGAAGGCGGCUUACUGGACUGUAACUGACACUGAGGCUCGAAAGCGUGGGGAGCAAACAGGAUUAGAUACCCUGGUAGUCCACGCUGUAAACGAUGAAUACUA
rnacentral:rRNA from 1 species